rfam:Trichobilharzia regenti genome assembly, scaffold: TRE_scaffold0012343
GUACUGAUGAAGUGUCUCAAACUAGAACGAAACGGCUGUCCAGUAC